UGGGGAAUAUUGCACAAUGGGGGAAACCCUGAUGCAGCGACGCCGCGUGAGCGAAGAAGGUUUUCGAAUCGUAAAGCUCUGUCCUAUGGGAAGAUAAUGACGGUACCAUAGGAGGAAGCCCCGGCUAACUACGUGCCAGCAGCCGCGGUAAUACGUAGGGGGCAAGCGUUGUCCGGAAUCACUGGGUGUAAAGGGUUCGCAGGCGGAAAUGCAUGUCAGUUGUGAAAGGCAGAGGCUCAACCUCUGUAAGCAAUUGAAACUGUAUUUCUUGAGAUGUGGAGAGGCAAGUGGAAUUCCUAGUGUAGCGGUGAAAUGCGUAGAUAUUAGGAAGAAUACCGGUGGCGAAGGCGACUUGCUGGACACAAACUGACGCUGAGGAACGAAAGCGUGGGUAGCAAACAGG
rnacentral:rRNA from 1 species